rnacentral:rRNA from 1 species
CAGUCGCCACGGUAAUACGGAGGGUGCAAGCGCUAACCGGAAUUACUGGGCGUAAAGCGUGCGUAGGCGGUUCGUUAAGUCUGUUGUGAAAGCCCCGGGCUCAACCUGGGAAUGGCAAUGGAUACUGGCGAGCUAGAGUGUGUCAGAGGAUGGUGGAAUUCCCGGUGUAGCGGUGAAAUGCGUAGAGAUCGGGAGGAACAUCAGUGGCGAAGGCGGCCAUCUGGGACAACACUGACGCUGAGGCACGAAAGCGUGGGGAGCAAACAGGAUUAGAUACCCCAGUAGUCCCUGUCUCUUAUAC